rnacentral:rRNA from 1 species
GAUCAUGGCUCAGGAUAAACGCUAGCUACAGGCUUAACACAUGCAAGUCGAGGGGCAGCAUGGUCUUAGCUUGCUAAGGCCGAUGGCGACCGGCGCACGGGUGAGUAACACGUAUCCAACCUGCCGUCUACUCUUGGACAGCCUUCUGAAAGGAAGAUUAAUACAAGAUGGCAUCAUGAGUCCGCAUGUUCACAUGAUUAAAGGUAUUUCGGUAGACGAUGGGG